rnacentral:rRNA from 1 species
AGGAUCAACGCUGGCGGCGUGCCUAAUGCAUGCAAGUCGAACGGGGUCGCUUUCGGGCGGCUUACGUGGCGGACGGGUGAGGAACGCGUGGGGAACCUGCCCUGGGGUGGGGGGUAGCCCGCGGAAACGUGGGGUAAUUCCGCAUCCGCUGGUCCGGCGGUAGGCUGGAUCAGGAAAGCCCUUUGGGGCGCCCUGGGAGGGGCCUGCGGCCGAUUAGCUGGUUGGUGGGGUAACGGCCUACCAAGGCGGUGAUCGGUAGCUGGUCUGAGAGGACGGCCAGCCACACGGGGACUGAGAGACGGCCCCGACUCCUACGGGAGGCAGCAGCAAGGAAUUUUCCGCAAUGGGCGCAAGCCUGACGGAGCAACGCCGCGUGCGGGAGGACGCCUUUCGGGGUGUAAACCGCUUUUCUUGGGGACGAAAACACUGACGGUACCCGAGGAAGAAGGACCGGCUAACUACGUGCCAGCAGCCGC